UACGUAGGGUGCAAGCGUUAAUCGGAAUUACUGGGCGUAAAGCGUGCGCAGGCGGUUUUGUAAGUCUGUCGUGAAAUCCCCGGGCUUAACCUGGGAACUGCAUUUGUGACUGCAUGGCUAGAGUGCGGCAGAGGGGGAUGGAAUUCCGCGUGUAGCAGUGAAAUGCGUAGAUAUGCGGAGGAACACCGAUGGCGAAGGCAAUCCCCUGGGCCUGCACUGACGCUCAUGCACGAAAGCGUGGGGAGCAAACAGG
rnacentral:rRNA from 1 species